AAUAGUAUCCUUUCUGCUCCUUUUAAAAGGACCCCAACCAUUUUUCUUUCUUUUUUUGUUAUCAGAGUGUAGCGUGUGGUUCCAGUGAGAUUGAGUUCCAACGAGUUUCAUACUCUUCAUUCAUCAGAUCCACAGCUCCAUCUUCCAGACAUGUCUUCCGUACACAGUAGUACUUUGAUGUCUGUCGUAUGCAACAACAACAACAAGAACCACUCCGCCUGGCCCAAACUUCCAAACUCCUCCUUGCUACCUGGCUUCGAUGUGGUUGUCCAAGCUGCUGCCGUUCGGUUCAAGAAAGACACAACAACCACACGAGCCACGUUGACGUUUGAUCCACCAACCACUAACUCAGAGAGAGCCAAGCAGAGAAAACACACCAUCGACCCUUCUUCUCCUGAUUUUCAGCCAAUCCCAUCGUUUGAGGAAUGCUUCCCUAAGAGCACUAAAGAACACAUUGAGGUUGUUCAUGAGGAAUCUGGUCAUGUUCUCAAAGUUCCUUUCAGACGUGUGCAUCUGUCUGGUGGUGAGCCAGCUUUUGAUAACUACGACACUAGUGGUCCUCAAACUGUUGACCCACACGUUGGGCUUCCUAAGCUAAGGAAGGAGUGGAUUGAUCGUCGCGAGAAGCUAGGAACACCAAGGUUCACCCAAAUGUACUACGCAAAGCAAGGAAUCAUAACCGAGGAGAUGCUCUACUGCGCUACAAGGGAGAAGCUCGACCCUGAGUUUGUGAGAUCAGAAGUUGCACGUGGGAGAGCCAUCAUCCCUUCCAACAAGAAGCAUUUGGAGCUUGAACCGAUGAUUGUCGGUAGAAAGUUCUUGGUCAAGGUCAAUGCCAAUAUCGGAAACUCAGCCGUUGCAAGCUCCAUUGAAGAAGAGGUCUACAAGGUUCAGUGGGCGACCAUGUGGGGAGCUGAUACAAUCAUGGACCUCUCGACUGGUCGUCACAUCCACGAGACACGCGAGUGGAUCCUAAGGAACUCAGCUGUUCCUGUUGGCACCGUCCCCAUUUAUCAAGCCCUUGAGAAAGUGGAUGGUAUUGCUGAGAAUCUUACCUGGGAAGUGUUCAGAGAGACUCUAAUUGAACAAGCCGAGCAAGGUGUGGACUACUUCACUAUCCACGCUGGUGUUCUGCUGCGUUACAUUCCUUUAACGGCUAAGCGUAUGACUGGGAUCGUUUCUCGUGGAGGAUCCAUCCAUGCUAAGUGGUGCUUAGCUUACCACAAGGAGAACUUUGCCUAUGAGCACUGGGAUGAUAUUCUAGACAUCUGUAACCAGUAUGAUGUGGCUCUUUCAAUAGGGGAUGGUCUGAGACCUGGAUCCAUCUAUGAUGCUAAUGACACUGCUCAGUUUGCUGAGCUUCUUACUCAAGGUGAACUUACUCGCCGAGCAUGGGAGAAAGAUGUGCAGGUGAUGAAUGAAGGGCCAGGGCAUGUGCCAAUGAACAAGAUUCCAGAGAAUAUGCAGAAGCAGCUUGAAUGGUGUAACGAGGCACCAUUCUACACGCUUGGUCCUUUGACUACUGAUAUUGCUCCUGGAUAUGAUCACAUCACCUCCGCCAUUGGAGCUGCCAAUAUUGGAGCCUUGGGCACAGCUCUUCUUUGCUAUGUAACACCCAAAGAGCAUCUCGGGUUACCAAACAGAGACGAUGUGAAGGCUGGGGUUAUAGCUUACAAGAUAGCCGCACAUGCAGCUGAUCUGGCCAAGCAGCAUCCACAUGCACAGGCGUGGGACGAUGCGCUGAGCAAGGCGCGGUUUGAGUUUAGGUGGAUGGAUCAGUUUGCUCUGUCCUUGGACCCUAUGACCGCUAUGUCCUUCCAUGAUGAGACUCUUCCAGCUGAUGGAGCGAAGGUUGCACACUUUUGCUCCAUGUGUGGACCAAAAUUCUGCUCCAUGAAGAUAACUGAAGACAUCAGGAAGUAUGCAGAGGAGAAUGGUUACGGCACUGCUGAGGAAGCGCUCAGAAAAGGGAUGGAGGCUAUGAGUCAAGAGUUCAAUGUUGCAAAGAAAACAAUCAGCGGAGAGCAGCACGGUGAAGUUGGUGGUGAAAUCUACUUGCCAGAGAGCUAUGUCAAGGCUAAUCAGAAGUAAAAAGGGAAAGAGUGGAAACAAGACCUUGCUUACAGGUGCCUGUUGGACUAUACCUGAAUAAGGCACAACAUGUUGGGGUGCUUGAACCAGGCUAGCCUGCUAAAAAGCGGGGUAGCCUGGGAACAGGCUGAGAAAGUCCCUUUGAACCUGAACAGGGUAAUGCCUGCGCAGGGAGUGUGCAGUUUUCUUUUUUUCUUUUCUAUAGGAGAAGAGGCUUCUGCUGUUGCCGAUCUUCUGAGUCUUGGUCCAUGGUUUCCCCACAGUUUGAUUCUCAUGAGCUAAGAGUUUCAGCUUAA